UGCCUGGUAGUGGGGGAUAACGUCCGGAAACGGACGCUAAUACCGCAUACGUCCUACGGGAGAAAGCAGGGGACCUUCGGGCCUUGCGCUAUCAGAUGAGCCUAGGUCGGAUUAGCUAGUUGGUGGGGUAAAGGCUCACCAAGGCGACGAUCCGUAACUGGUCUGAGAGGAUGAUCAGUCACACUGGAACUGAGACACGGUCCAGACUCCUACGGGAGGCAGCAGUGGGGAAUAUUGGACAAUGGGCGAAAGCCUGAUCCAGCCAUGCCGCGUGUGUGAAGAAGGUCUUCGGAUUGUAAAGCACUUUAAGUUGGGAGGAAGGGUCGUUACCUAAUACGUGACGAUUUUGACGUUACCGACAGAAUAAGCACCGGC
rnacentral:rRNA from 1 species